rnacentral:rRNA from 2 species
AGGGAAACGGGAGCUUUCCAUGCAGUCGAACGGCAGCACGAGAGAGCUUGCUCUCUUGGUGGCGAGUGGCGGACGGGUGAGUAAUAUAUCGGAACGUGCCCAGUAGCGGGGGAUAACUACUCGAAAGAGUGGCUAAUACCGCAUACGCCCUACGGGGGAAAGGGGGGGAUUCUUCGGAACCUCUCACUAUUGGAGCGGCCGAUAUCGGAUUAGCUAGUUGGUGGGGUAAAGGCUCACCAAGGCAACGAUCCGUAGCUGGUUUGAGAGGACGACCAGCCACACUGGGACUGAGACACGGCCCAGACUCCUACGGGAGGCAGCAGUGGGGAAUUUUGGACAAUGGGGGAAACCCUGAUCCAGCCAUCCCGCGUGUAUGAUGAAGGCCUUCGGGUUGUAAAGUACUUUUGGCAGAGAAGAAAAGGUAUCUCCUAAUACGAGAUACUGCUGACGGUAUCUGCAGAAUAAGCACCGGCUAACUACGUGCCAGCAGCCGCGGUAAUACGUAGGGUGCAAGCGUUAAUCGGAAUUACUGGGCGUAAAGCGUGUGUAGGCGGUUCGGAAAGAAAGAUGUGAAAUCCCAGGGCUCAACCUUGGAACUGCAUUUUUAACUGCCGAGCUAGAGUAUGUCAGAGGGGGGUAGAAUUCCACGUGUAGCAGUGAAAUGCGUAGAUAUGUGGAGGAAUACCGAUGGCGAAGGCAGCCCCCUGGGAUAAUACUGACGCUCAGACACGAAAGCGUGGGGAGCAAACAGGAUUAGAUACCCUGGUAGUCCACGCCCUAAACGAUGUCAACUAGCUGUUGGGGCCGUUAGGCCUUAGUAGCGCAGCUAACGCGUGAAGUUGACCGCCUGGCGAGUACGGUCGCAAGAUUAAAACUCCAAGGAAUUGACGGGGGCUCGCUCUAGAUACAUAA